rnacentral:misc_RNA from 1 species
GUGUGUGCUUUUGUAUUGAACAGAUCAGGCUCAGGCGUCGUUAAAAUAAUAAAACACGCGGCGCGAGCGCCGCGCGUCAAAUAAACACGGCACAGAGGGUCGGCGAGAUCAACCAUUCCAAUGAUGAUCCUUCCGCAGGUUCACCUACGGAAA